UCCAAUUCCAUCCAUCCUUCCAUCUCGCGCGCCCCCAGCAGCGACGGCGAUUCUCUCUAGCCCCACCCAUCUUCCGCCUCGUCCUAGGGAGAAAAUCCCGCCCCUCCGCCGCCCCUCCGCCGCCCCUCUCCGCCCCGCUCCGCCCCCCGAAACCCUAAAGCAAUGUCGGGAGGGUUUUUCCGAGGUACUUCCGCGGAUCAGGACACGCGGUUCUCGAACAAGCAGGCGAAGCUCCUCAAGACGCAGAAGUUCGCUCCGGAGCUGGAGUUCCUGGUGGACAUGACGAAAGUGAAGAUGGAUGUCAUGAAACCUUGGAUUGCCACCAGGGUGACUGGGCUUCUAGGGUUUGAAGACGAGGUCCUCAUCAAUUUCAUAUAUGGACUCCUGGAUGGGAAGGAGGUUAAUGGAAAGGAGGUUCAGAUACAACUCACAGGAUUUAUGGAGAAAAACACUGGCAAGUUUAUGAAAGAACUCUGGACUCUUCUUAUCAGUGCGCAGAAAAAUGCAAGCGGUGUGCCUCAGCAGUUCUUAGAUGCCAAAGAGGAAGAAACUCGGAAGAAGAAGGUUGAAGCCGACCUCGUUGCUGAUGAAAUUCGGAAGAAAAGAGACAAGGAAAGUAGAGAAUUUGAACAGGAGAAAUCAGAGAGGAUGGACGGUGUGGUAGAGAUGAAGGCUUCAAAUGAUGACCUGGAGAAGGACUUCAUGUCUUCAAGGGCCUCAAAUGCCCGUCGGGAUGGUAAAAAUGAUAAUGGAAGGAGGGGUGCUUCAAGAAGAAGCCAUGAAGUUUCUAGAUCUCCUCGAUCGGUGGACCAUUCCUCUUCAUCCCCUCGAGCUUCACCUUCUAGGUCAAUCAGCAAGUCAUUGUCUAAAUCCAGGAGCUAUUCAGAUGAAAGACGCAGGUCAAGGAGUAUCUCUGCAUCACGACAGAGACGUAGCCGUUCAAUUUCUUCUAGUAAGGUGUAUCGUUCUCCUCGAAGAAGGUCUAUGACACCUCGUCGGAGGUAUUCUCCUCGGAGAUCCCGAUCUCCGAGACGAGGAGCGUCUUUUUAUAGGCGGAGAUCGAUAUCUCCUCCGCAUCGCAGGUCACCAUCUCCUGUAAGGCGUAGGUUGCGUUCACCUCCUCGACAUAGGUCACGUUCUCCAAUGAAGCGUAGAUCUCCGCCUCCUGUCCGGCGUCGAAGAUCUCCAUCUCCUGUCCGGCGUCGUAGAUCUCCAUCUCCUGUCCGGCGUGGGUCACCUUCUUUUGAUAGACGAAGAUCACCGCCUCCGGUGCGACAUAGAUCUUCCCUUGUCCGACGUCGAUCACCCUCUCCAUUACGGAGGAGGUCGCCCUCUCCUGUACGGAGGAGGUCGCCCUCUCCUGUUCGAAGGAGGUCGCCCUUUCCAAGACACAGAUCACCAUCUCCCAGGCGUCAUAUAUCACCUUCACCUGUGUCUCGCGGGUUAUCAUCUCCUGUCCGUCAUUUAUCAACUUCACCUAUGCAGCCCAGAUCAUCAUCUCCUGUACACCAUGGGACCCCAUCCCCUGUACCAGAGCGGCUACGGAGAUCUCAAUCAAUUCCUGGGCAAAGAUCUUCAUCCCCAGGGCGGCGAAGAUCGCCCUUAUCUGCACGCAGGAAAUCAAUGACCCCUCCACCCCGGAGGACAUCUCAUGAGUCAGACUCUGCAUCUCCGAUUGGUCAUAGAUCUCCACCCUUGCGGAAGAGAUCUUCUCCAUUUGGAAGAUCGCCUGCUGGAUCUACCAGGGAAAGAAUGAGGUCACGGAGCCCAUAUGAGAGUCCUGUAAAGCAAGCUAGGAAUGUCCGGAGACGAAGCAGGUCAUCUAGCCCAUACAGGAGUCCAUUAAAGAAUCUGGUGAAUAAUGACGACCGUUCUAAUUCACUGCGAUUGAGAGAACGUAGGUCGCAUCAAGGAAGCCCAGAUAAAAGUGAUGAGAGGGGAAUUACUAACAACAUUCGGGAAAGUAGGGAUCGUGCUCUCAAGCCUAGAGAUAAAAGAUCUAUAAAUUCAUCCUCUUUCAGUAAACAGGGAGACUCGCCCAUGAAGCUGCGUGAUAAGGAUAAUUCUCCUCCUGAAAAAGCUGCUGGAGAUCGUUCUAAUGGCUCUAAGAGCCGUUCUGAUGGCUUGGAUAUUCGAAACAAAGACCAAGAGAGAAUGAGGGAAAAGCCCUCUGGAAAGGGAUUGUUGUCACCUUCACUGAACAAAGAAUCUGGUGAGAAGCUACAGACAUCUCACUCCGUUGAAGGUAGAAAAUCUGGUGAUAAGGAUCAUUCUCGAGAUAGUGUUCGACGGCACAGAUCUGAAGUCACACAAAGAUCUGUGGAGAAGGUUGAUCAUAGUAAACACAGCAGCUUGUCUGAAACAGGUUCUGAGGAAAGUGAUAAGCACAUUAAUGAUCGCAAGGAGAAGAAAAGGCGCAAAAGAUUAGAUAAGCGAGAAAAAGAUUCAGAUGAUAAUAGCUAUGAUUCUGAGAUAGAGGAUCGGAAGGAGACUAAAAGGAGGAGGAAAGAAGAGAAGAAAAUGAAGAAGGAGGAGAGACGUCGACGUCGAGAGGAGAGACGUCGUAGACGGGAAGAACGUCGUGCAGAAAAGAUGAGAGCAAAGAAAGAGGAUAUUGUCUCAUCUGACCUUGGAAAGCAUUCCAGAGAUGCAUCCUCCUCAGAUGAUGAAGAUGUUGACAGAAAGGAGGAUCAUUCGUAUGAUGAAGAGGCAGAAACCAAGCAAAAGAAACUUGAGAUUGAGCUACGAAUGAAGGCUCUUGAGUCAUUUAAGGCAAAGAAGGGCAUAGUUAAUCGAUAAAUGAGGUUCCUCAGCUAUUCUGUUGAUGCGACUUUAAGCAGGCAUUGCCGCUAGAUUUUCUGAUGAAAAAAAAUUCAACUUUGAUGACUUGGUUGAGCAGAACAUUCCGCAGAUCAUCAUUCUGAACAUCAACUCAGGUGAUGUAUUUACAUCUUUCUCUGGGUUCAUUUAGGAUGGUGUUUUCAACACUGAGAAGUUUAUGUAUUUAGAUGCCCACUUCUCUUCUGGGUGGUGGAAAGUUUUUUGUAGAUUAUGUUUCUUACCUACCUGCCUGUUUUGAGGUGGAUAUCGGAUGAUAGAUCCACAUCAUGCCAUCUAGGAUGUCUAGAUACCUGAGAACUCUGUUUUUUUUCUUUUGUCGUGGGACUGCUAUGGAAAUUUGGUGUUAAUUCUGGAGAUACUUAACUGAGGAAAUGCUAAGUUCUUAAAACCUGACAUAUUUCAAGCAGUUUUUGACCGAUACAAAAACUUUUACUAUUCUCAUUAGUUAGUUAGAGUCCCUAAGUGUCAAACUAUGCUCUUGCUAAGUAUAUUGUCCUUGGAGGUGUAUAAAAGGCGAAAUUGUGUUAGUAGUGCAAUUAGUGUUGCAACAAUUCCAUAUCAACUAUUAACCACUUGGUCUUAUUUCGUUUCUUCAUGAGCUUGGAUGUGGGAAUCCAUUCCAUGGCGACUCUGAAGCAUUUCGUUUAAAGUUUGUAGAAGCAGCUUACCUAAUCUAGUGCAACAAUGUUGGUAUGCCUUACUACCUUUGCUUCCAUUAGCUGUUUGUAAAUGGAGGUAAUGAUGUGUAAUGUGGGUUCUAUCAUAUCCUUCUGGGCUGAUAUUUAGUAGAUUGAGAACAGAGUUCAGUAAACAAUGGAUGAGUGGCCUUUUUUGCAGCUAUGAUGAGCAUUCUCUAUUUUCUUGCU